rnacentral:rRNA from 1 species
GAUCCUGGCUCAGAUUGAACGCUGGCGGCAGGCCUAACACAUGCAAGUCGAGCGGUAGAGAGAAGCUUGCUUCUCUUGAGAGCGGCGGACGGGUGAGUAAUACCUAGGAAUCUGCCUGAUAGUGGGGGAUAACGUUCGGAAACGGACGCUAAUACCGCAUACGUCCUACGGGAGAAAGCAGGGGACCUUCGGCCGUUGCGCUAUCAGAUGAGCCUAGGUCGGAUUAGCUAGUUGGUUGAGGUAAG